UGCCAGCAGCCGCGGUAAUACGGAGGGUGCGAGCGUUAAUCGGAAUUACUGGGCGUAAAGGGUACGUAGGCGGAUUUGUAGGUAUCUUGUGAAAUCCCACGGCUCAACCGUGGAACUGCAGGGUAAACCACAAGUCUUGAGACAAGUAGGGGUCAGUGGAACUAUGAGUGGAGCGGUGAAAUGCGUAGAUAUUCAUGGGAACGCCAAUGGCGAAGGCAGCUGACUGGGCUUGUUCUGACGCUCAGGUACGAAAGCGUGGGUAGCGAACGGGAUUAGAUA
rnacentral:rRNA from 1 species